AACCCGUGUCCCCUGCAUCGGCACGCGGACUCUCAACCACUGCGCCACCGGGGAAGCUCAGCAGCUCAGUCUCUUUGAGGAUGUCAAGGUGCAGCAUGAGUCUUUGAUGUGUACUCAAUUCAGGCAAACCUAGCAACUUGGAAGGUGUCAUAUACAUCAAGUUCAGAUCCGAACCAGAAUCCCACACUGACCAUGGGCUACAACUCCUGCCAUGCCAGAGAAGGCUUGAGAUAUUGAACCAUCCUAGCAUCCCUGGAAUA